CGGCGGACGGGUGAGUAAUGCCUGGGAAAUUGCCCUGAUGUGGGGGAUAACCAUUGGAAACGAUGGCUAAUACCGCAUAAUAGCUUCGGCUCAAAGAGGGGGACCUUCGGGCCUCUCGCGUCAGGAUAUGCCCAGGUGGGAUUAGCUAGUUGGUGAGGUAAGGGCUCACCAAGGCGACGAUCCCUAGCUGGUCUGAGAGGAUGAUCAGCCACACUGGAACUGAGACACGGUCCAGACUCCUACGGGAGGCAGCAGUGGGGAAUAUUGCACAAUGGGCGCAAGCCUGAUGCAGCCAUGCCGCGUGUAUGAAGAAGGCCUUCGGGUUGUAAAGUACUUUCAGCAGUGAGGAAGGUGGUGCACUUAAUACGUGCAUCAUUUGACGUUAGCUGCAGAAGAAGCACCGGCUAACUCCGUGCCAGCAGCCGCGGUAAUACGGAGGGUGCGAGCGUUAAUCGGAAUUACUGGGCGUAAAGCGCAUGCAGGUGGUUUGUUAAGUCAGAUGUGAAAGCCCGGGGCUCAACCUCGGAAUUGCAUUUGAAACUGACAGACUAGAGUACUGUAGAGGGGGGUAGAAUUUCAGGUGUAGCGGUGAAAUGCGUAGAGAUCUGAAGGAAU
rnacentral:rRNA from 2 species